UACGUAGGCAGCGAGCGUUGUUCGGAAUUACUGGGCGUAAAGAGUGUGUAGGCGGUGCUCCCAGUCUGUUGUGAAAUCUCCCGGCUUAACUGGGAGGGUGCAGCGGAAACUAGAGUGCUAGAGGGUGGGAGAGGUAAGCGGAAUUCCUGGUGUAGCGGUGAAAUGCGUAGAUAUCAGGAGGAACACCGGUGGCGAAGGCGGCAUCCUGGACCGGCAUUGACGCUGAGGAGCGAAAGCCAGGGGAGCAAACGGGG
rnacentral:rRNA from 1 species